rnacentral:lncRNA from 1 species
AGCACUCCUAUACUAAUUUUAAGCAUAGGUAACAUUGGUAUAAACCCUUAAUAGAUGAUGACAUUAUUUUGAAGUAAUUCUAUUGUAGUGAAGUUUACUGAAAUGCUGUUGUUUUUUACCUUUCAUUGUGUUCAGUUCAUUGUAAUGCAGAGUUAUUCACAUACAUGAUUUCAUGAUGUUGUUUCAUUAUAUGGGAUAUAGUGUUUGAAUUAGCAUUAGAAAGGAUAGAGAGAAAGUCUCAGAAGAGUGUGAUUAAGCAUAGUAAAGGG